CGGGUGAGUAACGCGUGAGGAACCUGCCUCAAAGAGGGGGACAACAGUUGGAAACGACUGCUAAUACCGCAUAAGCCCACAGCUCGGCAUCGAGCAGAGGGAAAAGGAGCAAUCCGCUUUGAGAUGGCCUCGCGUCCGAUUAGCUAGUUGGUGAGGUAACGGCCCACCAAGGCAACGGUCGGUAGCCGGACUGAGAGGUUGAACGGCCACAUUGGGACUGAGACACGGCCCAG
rnacentral:rRNA from 1 species